CUCAACUUUGACAGUCAACUUCUGGUGCUGCAUCGUAAACAAAGAAUGGAAUUAUAUUUACACGAAGUGUCUUUCAUUGCGGAAGAAUCUGAUUGUAUCCAAGCGGUGGAGCAGUGAAUAAGUGUUUCCAUAAUCAUGUUUUUACCGAUUACAACUUUGGUUGGAGGUCACGGACUACAGACGGACGAGCGCAGGUUCCACUACGUUCUACAAGGAAAACAGAACUCUACAAAGGGCAUGGAUAUAUCUGGACGAAUCAUUCUCGCCACGCACCUACCCACUUGUAUCGAAUCCAUCUAAAGUUCUUCCGGAAUUGCAUUGACGGUGGAUUCCAAAUUAUUUAGUAUGAAGCUGGCAAUGAUUAGGUGACGAAAUUUUCAUCCACCGAUAGCAAGUCCAGCGCCGAUUACAUAAAGAUGUUUAACAUUAGCGUCACAUACAUUACAAAUAGGAGAAGACCUGCAACCAAUCAGUUAUGUUUCAUUAAAGUUUAAUUUAAUAUGAUUUGAAUUUAAUUUUAAAUUAAUGUAUUCUUUUUGAACUUUAAUUCAAUUUAAUUUAAUUAUGUUUAAUUUCUAUUCAAUUUUAACUAAAUUUUAAUUUUACAAAUUCUAUUUUGUUUUUUUAAUUUAAAUUUUAAGUGUAACCAUAGAAAAUUGUUAAAUUGUUUGCUUGUUACUAUAUGGUAUAAGUUAGCAACCCUAUAACCAG